rnacentral:snRNA from 1 species
CACUCCAUGGGUGUCCCUCCAGAAGCUGAGCAUGACAUCCCCACUAGAGAUGGUGCCAUUCAUCAGCCAAGGCUACAAGGCAGCUGCACUCCCCGGCCACAAGCUCCAAAGCAGCUCAAGGUCCAUUGGGAGGAGAACAUAGAGGAGUCAAGCUUCCAAGACUGCAGACACAUCCAAGUGAUGUGCUCCAUGGGAAGUUUUCCAUUCUUU